rnacentral:lncRNA from 10 species
UUUAGAUUUAAGUUUUUAAUCCUGCCUUUGCCUCCCAAAGUGCUGGGAUUACAAGCGUGAGCUACCACACCCAGCGAGGAAGCCAAGUUUAACGUGUGUGCUCCACUCCUCCAACCUGGCCAAAGGGCAGUCAUCAUCACUGGCCACUACUGACCACAGCCUUUAGAAACUCCCCUUGAACGUGCUGGGCUGACCUUCCUCUGAUCACAGGCAAGGCAAAGGAAAAUGACAGGCCCUUGCCUUCCCGGUCCUCAAGGGUCAGCUGUAAGAUGAUGUCAUAAAGCCGGAUCAGGUCCUGGGGCCGGGGGAAGCACUUGCUGUCAUCCUCUGGCUGCUGCUGCAGCAGAGCCCUCUGCAGACCUUUGGCCAUGCUCUCAUUACGCUUGAUUGCCAUUGACAGCUUGAUGUAAGUCAGGUAGGUGGAAUGCACCACACGUCAGCUCAAGUUAUACUCAGAGAAGCAGAGGAACUGGGAGGACUGCACUACGAGUUGGGGCUGA